rnacentral:lncRNA from 1 species
AGAAGUUGAAUUUCUUGAGUGGAAUUAUUAUGAUUACUGCAAAUUUUUGUGGCACUUCAUGAGGCACCCACUGUAAAGAUGAUGGCAACAUGGUUCCUGCAUGCUUUGGCUUGUAACAACUAGUGCUAUGAGCAGGCCUUCAAGCAAUGCAAGUGGAUUUAAUGGGGGAGAGGUGGAAGUUGAUGAAAAUGUCCUGUAAAAUUAAAUUCUUUCCUUUCACUUACGUGGGAAAAUUCAGGCAAAUUGAUGUUAAUGCCAGAAGCAAUGGGCCUUUUAAAAUUUUAAAGUUGCCUUUGGGUUAUUUAAAUUUAACAGUUUUGAUGAGCUUCAUUGGGAUGUUGGGCUAGCGUGUUUCAUCAGGAUGCCUGCAAAGAAACCAAGAUUUGCUAUACGCUCUUCGUAGGAUGGCGCACCAAGGGGAGGAGACAAUUGAAAACAUAACAGAUAAAAACAGUGCUUCUACAUUUCCUAUGAUCCAACAAGAGUUAUUUUGCACAUUUAAGAACUGCCAUUUAUUUGGGCAACAUACCACUCUACUCUUUCGGAUAGAUGAAGAGCAAGCCUGCUUCAUUUCAAUGUUCACAUUCAAGGUUGCUGCAAUUGGACCAUUGCCACAUAUCCAAUGGAGGAAUAACUUAGACACAAAGAGCUUAGGAACUGUUUCUUAGUUUUAACUGCUUUGAACAUAUGUAUAAAUAUCAAAAAAGAAUAAAGGGAACUGAGGUGCUUGAAUCAUUGGCUUCACUGCCUGUUGUCUUCACAUGGCUGCUAUAUUAUAACAGGCAGAUGUUUUCUGGUAUUUUUGAAAUAAAUAGGUAGGUCAGUUCUUGGUAGCAGCUGUUUUCAGCAAACAUUUUAUGCAACAUAUUCAAUAAGUUUAUUAGUUAAGAUCAAAUAUAUUAAUUGUAACACUUAAUUAAAGGGGCCCUGAACCAUCUUUUUUUGAAGCAUUAAACACGCUUUGGAAAGAGGGAUGUGCUUCCAAGGAAUAUAGUACUAAAAGAAUUAAAAAAUAAGACAUAGUAUGAGGCGGAUAUAUUACGAGCGCAAUGUUUACCUUUCACAUUUCCCCUCAACAUUCUCUGUUCCAAAGGAGCGGGGUAGCGCCAGUGGCGGAGUCUUGCCUGCAUUACGUUUCAUUCCUACAUGGCCGGGUGCGGCUGAGUUGACAAGACAGAUGGUUUCUCCUGGAAGUGCGCAAUUAUUAUCUGAAUUUAGAACGCAGAUUUCCAAUUAGCUCAGCCUGUUUAGUUAAUUGUGUCAAUAUAUGAAGUAACAGUAGGAAAAGACAGACUGAUCAAAACAUCUUGCUGGCUUCAUGUCAACUAUGGGCUAAUGGCAGCGCUCGAUGGGAAUCUGCUCUAUGACGAGAUGUGACAGCGACUGGCACUGCUGACAGCCUCGAAAUGGGCAAGGAACAGUUUGAAAGGAAAGCAUUUGGAGAGAGGUCAACUUUGUGCUUUGCUUGUGAACUCCUCGUGUCGCACACCACUGCGAAAUUUGGCCACAAUGUUCACAGCUGCAUGCAUAUACUAUCUGCAGAACGUGUUUUCUCACCAAGCCCGAGAAGUGGUUCAGGGCCACUUUAAGGGAGAAAGUUUAGGUUGAGAAGUAGUAGAACACUUCAGCAGCCCACACUGCAAUUUCAAGUUUAGUGGGUACCUCAAAGGUAAAGAAUUGAGUAAAUAACUUCACAACUUUUUUUUUUUUCUGAUAUCUUUUAGAAAUUAUUUCUUAAAUGUUUGAGCAGACUGUAGCUUUAACAAAUGCUGGCUAUUUCUACAUAUUUGCGUUUUUCCAUGGUGAAGUAGAGGAGCACUAUCAACACAUACGAAGUCAAAGAAAAGGUAAGCGCUCAUGUUGUUCUUUUCUUCAGCUUUGUAUGCGUUGACUGUGCUUCCCCCCUAUAUCACCAUGGAAGCUUACCAACUUGCCCAAAUGUCUACCUUGCUUUUGUCAUCUGCCUAUAGAGCAUGAUUUACAGCUAUGGUCACAGUUCAUGUUUUUAGAAUGCCAAUGUGAACAGUCUAGUCAACACUGGAUGCCAUGGCCUGUGCUUAUCAAAACACUCAGCACAGCAGGCUUUUUAGUUGAAAACACAAGUGACAGUGCUACAAUCCAUGCAUGCAAGAGUGCAGGCAGUUUAUUAUUAUUAUUAUUUUUUUUCAUGUUUCAUAACUGAUCUUAACUAGUUAUGUAACUAGGACACACUACAACUUAUUCCGACUUCCCAAAACAUGCUGCUGGCCUUGACUAUCUACAACAUACCACCUUUUUAAAAGCUUUAGUUAUGUGAAACAUUCAGUAUAAUCGCCAUACACAAAGCAAUUUUACACCCACAAUCAACAUACGUGACAGAAUAGGGUGGUGUUGUGCUAAAAGCAAGUGGAUGACAAAUUUUUCUUUCAUGCCAUGACAAUCCAUCAUGAAUGCACUCGUCAGGGUCCCAUGCAAGUCAAAUAAU